CUCCGUUCAGCCAGCCCAAAAUCAACCUUGUUGAUCUAACCACAAUAUAUUGGACGAUGUUGGAUACAAAUUUUGAAUGAAGUCAAACCUGAUCCGCAAAUAUCUGAUCCAAUAUCAGCCAAUAAUGAGCGGAAAUUAAUGAAGUCAAUAGUUUAAUUAAUGUUUGUCCACGGAAAGACUUCAUUGAUGGAUUAUAAACUGAACGAGAAGCAACCUUGGUCAAUAAUAACCUUAGUAAGACUGACAACUGAAACUGGUAAAUGCAUGGGCCAGAAAGGUUAACGGAUUAAUGCUGGGUUAGGAAACAAGAGUUCAUAUAAGCAGUUUUUCGUGUUCCGUUUUGUCGUGU